UAAAAACCGAGAAGAAGACUCCCGGUAGGAGUCUUCUUCUCCGGUGAGACCCAUGCGCAUUAGGAGUCCUAGGAUCUCUCGGAAUCCUAGGACCCUCUAUAAGAAGGUCUUCCCUCUCUUUAGAAUCGAUCCAUUGGCCUCCUCCCUCUCUCCUUCUCUCCGAUUUCCUCGAAUUAGAGCCGCGGACACCGUCCGAUUUCUCGCCGUAAUUGCUCGCCGGCGAGGUCUCCGGAGGCUGAGGUAAGUUUCUCUCUUCCUCCCCUCUUUCUUCUCCUUCCUCCCCGUGCAUUGUGCGCGCU
rnacentral:lncRNA from 1 species